rnacentral:rRNA from 1 species
AACGAACGCUGGCGGCAGGCCUAACACAUGCAAGUCGAACGCGUCCUUCGGGACGAGUGGCAGACGGGUGAGUAACGCGUGGGAACGUACCCUUUGGUUCGGAACAACAGCGGGAAACUGCUGCUAAUACCGGAUAAGCCCUUCGGGGAAGGAUUAUCGCCAGAGGAUCGGCCCGCGUUAGAUUAGCUUGUUGGUGAGGUAAUGGCUCACCAAGGCUACGAUCUAUAGCUGGUCUGAGAGGAUGAUCAGCCACACUGGGACUGAGACACGGCCCAGACUCUUACGGGAGGCAGCAGUGGGGAAUCUUGGACAAUGGGCGGAAAGCCUGAUCCAGCCAUGCCGCGUGAAUGAUGAAGGCCCUAGGGUUUGGUAAAAAUUACUUUUCG